rnacentral:rRNA from 1 species
GGAGCAGCCCAGAGUAUGAAUCAGCUUGUGUGUUAGUGUAACGUUCUGUAUAGUCAGACGGUAAAGGGUGAUAUUCCCGUACACCAAAAUGCACAGGCUGUGAACUCGAAGAGUAGGGCGGGACACGUGGUAUCCUGUCUGAAUAUGGUGGGACCAUCCUCCAAUUCUAAAUACUCCUGACUUACCGAUAGUGAACCAGUACCGUGAGGGAAAGGCGAAAAGAACCCCGUCGAGG